AUGUUUUCAAAGUAUCGAUACUCCACGAGUAGGCUGUUUAUUUUGGGCGUUGAAGAAAACACGUGGGAGAAAUAUACAUAUAUAUUGAGGUGUCUGAGAGCAUGGAGCGGCGCUUUUAAACGGUCCGUUAUGGAGAUGACAAGCGAGGAGGCAGCCUGUCAGGUCCACGCAGUUUUCAUGGAGCCCGAGCCCGAGCCCGUGAGCCGUCUGAGGGCAAAGUACCACUCACUGCGGAGACAAGUGUGCCUCAUCCAGUCCAUCAGCGUGCUCUUGUGCUUCAGCUGCUGCGUGUUCACGCUCCUGUAUCACGCGUUCCCGCCGACCUCCAAGGAAAAUGGAACCAAGGAGACAGCUACAUUUGGAAUGCAGUAUCAAGGUGUUGAAUGGCAUAGCAGAGAAAAAACAAUCCAAACACAAAGAAUCACAUCUUUCACUCGUUUGACAGUUCAAGACAAUGCCAACUUCACUGAAAAAGAAGGAUAUGUGCCGUGGAUGGAUACACCAGAGUAUCCGACACCAAACAAUAGCAGAUACUUCAUCCUGGAUGACAAUAAUGAAUCUCUGAAAGUCCUUCGCGAUGGAACAUACAAGGUUUCUCUUCAGAUUACGUACAAAAAAAUAUUCAGCGAAAACACAAGUGAAAUAUUUCUGCAACAUGAUAUUCGUCAUUGUACUGAGGCAUAUGAUGGAGCCCUGACCCUGCUCGUCCACUGUGAAACAGUCAACCUCAAAUACUGGACGAAAACUCUGUUCUCUGAGGGUAUUUUUUCUCUCAAAGCUGGGGACAGACUCAAGGUGUGGUCCAACAAUCGGAAACUCAUUGACUUUAAAGGGCAAAUUUCGCAAAAAACAGCCUUUGUGGCAUAUCCUCAUUUUUCCACAUGA
rnacentral:lncRNA from 1 species